rnacentral:tRNA from 1 species
GCCGAAGUAGCUCAGUGGCAGAGCAACUGAUUCGUAAUCAGUAGGUCCGGGGUUCAAAUCCCCGCUUCGGCACCA